CAAGCCAUUUCGCACACAAGCUCGACUUUUCCUCGUCGCUUGGUUCAUCCCGUCGCCGCCGCCUUCUUCCGCUCCAAGAAAUGCGCAGUGGCGGAAUCCAUCGGUUAUGGGAAGGGUAACUACGGCUUAACUCUAAUCUUUUGUAGAUCGAGAUCGAGAGAGAAGAGCAGGGAGAUGGUGUUGUGGGAGAUGACAUUGGCGACGGCAUACUUCUUGGGAUUGAAGCGGACCUACGCGAUCACCCUCAGGAUCCAGUGGCGUGCCUCCUCGGCCCUCGUCGCCCCGAGCUCCGUCAAUUCCUUCACAGGAGGACCAGUGGUCUUUUGAUGUGGUGGUCAAGAGUCGUUCAAGGCAUGCAACACAGGGAGGAGUACAGGGAAUUCCAGUCUCCGGUGGCUUUGAUCAAAUGAAACCAUCAUCCCAAAUUGACGUGCACAGUGGGAAGCCUCCUCGCAGCAUUGAUAUCUCCAAGCAGUGCUCAGCCGCUAGUAACUCAGAUCAGGUUAAGAGAUAUCGAUCCUUCUUCACUCCUUGGAACAUCCCCAUGAGAACUUUCCCAACUGCAGUAAGUCAUGAUGCUGCAUCCCUUUGAAACCAGCGGGCUUGAAUGGCCAGCACAGGCAUCUUUCUCGCUACAUGCCAAAUCUAUCGGCAUUAGAAGACACACAACAGUAGACUGAUGACCCUUCAAAACUUCCCUGUGAACCCAAGCUUUUCGAAGAUGUUGCUAAUUUGAGUGGAUUUGGACUGUCUAUAAUGAUGCUUUCUCUUUGU